rnacentral:rRNA from 1 species
AUUGAACGCUGGCGGCAGGCCUAACACAUGCAAGUCGAGCGGUAACACAGGGAGCUUGCUCCUAGGUGACGAGCGGCGGACGGGUGAGUAAUGUCUGGGAAACUGCCUGAUGGAGGGGGAUAACUACUGGAAACGGUAGCUAAUACCGCAUAAUGUCGCAAGACCAAAGAGGGGGACCUUCGGGCCUCUUGCCAUCAGAUGUGCCCAGAUGGGAUUAGCUAGUAGGUGGGGUAACGGCUCACCUAGGCGACGAUCCCUAGCUGGUCUGAGAGGAUGACCAGCCACACUGGAACUGAGACACGGUCCAGACUCCUACGGGAGGCAGCAGUGGGGAAUAUUGCACAAUGGGCGCAAGCCUGAUGCAGCCAUGCCGCGUGUAUGAAGAAGGCCUUCGGGUUGUAAAGUACUUUCAGCGGGGAGGAAGGCGUUGAGGUUAAUAACCUCAGCGAUUGACGUUACCCGCAGAAGAAGCACCGGCUAACUCCGUGCCAGCCGCCGCCGUAA